rnacentral:rRNA from 5 species
CAACUUUCAACAACGGAUCUCUUGGCUCUCGCAUCGAUGAAGAACGCAGCGAAAUGCGAUAAGUAAUGUGAAUUGCAGAAUUCAGUGAAUCAUCGAAUCUUUGAACGCACCUUGCGCCCCUUGGUAUUCCGAGGGGCAUGCCUGUUUGAGUGUCAUU